UCUAAUAUGGCAGAGAAGUGCAGUGGAUUUAAGCUCCACAAAUAAAGAAUAACUUUUAUUAGAA
rnacentral:tRNA from 1 species